rnacentral:rRNA from 1 species
CUACACAUGCAAGUCGAACGGUAACAGGAAGCAGCUUGCUGCUUCGCUGACGAGUGGCGGACGGGUGAGUAAUGUCUGGGAAACUGCCUGAUGGAGGGGGAUAACUACUGGAAACGGUAGCUAAUACCGCAUAACGUCGCAAGACCAAAGAGGGGGACCUUCGGGCCUCUUGCCAUCGGAUGUGCCCAGAUGGGAUUAGCUAGUAGGUGGGGUAACGGCUCACCUAGGCGACGAUCCCUAGCUGGUCUGAGAGGAUGACCAGCCACACUGGAACUGAGACACGGUCCAGACUCCUACGGGAGGCAGCAGUGGGGAAUAUUGCACAAUGGGCGCAAGCCUGAUGCAGCCAUGCCGCGUGUAUGAAGAAGGCCUUCGGGUUGUAAAGUACUUUCAGCGGGGAGGAAGGCGAUAAGGUUAAUAACCUUGUCGAUUGACGUUACCCGCAGAAGAAGCACCGGCUAACUCCGUGCCAGCAGCCGCGGUAAUACGGAGGGUGCAAGCGUUAAUCGGAAUUACUGGGGCGUAAAGCGCACGCAGGCGGUCUGUCAAGUCGGAUGUGAAAUCCCCGGCUCAACCUGGGAACUGC